GGCCUGAUGGUCUAGUAGUAUGAUUCUCCCUUCGGGUUUUACUCGCAACUGAGGUUGCUCAAAUGGGAGAGGUCCCGGGUUCAAUUCCCGGUUAGGCCC